UAACAAGAUUGUUCGCCAGAGAACUACUAGCUACAGCUUAAAACUCAAAGGACUUGGCGGUGCUUUACAUCCCUCUAGAGGAGCCUGUUCUGUAAUCGAUAAACCCCGAUAAACCUCACCCACCCUUGCUAAUUCAGCCUAUAUACCGCCGUCUUCAGCAAACCCUUAAAGGGAACCAUAGUAAGCACAAGUAUAUACAUAAAAACGUUAGGUCAGGGUGUAGCUAAUGAUUUGGGAAAAAAUGGGAUACAUUUUCUACUUUUAGAACAUAUAUUCCCAAACGAAAACCUUUAUGAAACGAAAGGUUAAAGGAGGAUUUAGUAAGAAAAUAAAAAUAAAGCCCUUAAUUGAAUAAGGC
rnacentral:rRNA from 1 species